AUUGACCGCUGGCGGCCGGCUUAACACAUGCAAGUCGAGAGAGCGGCGGACGGGUGAGUAAUGUCUGGGAAACAGCCUGAUGGAGGGGGAUAACUACUGGAAACGGUAGCUAAUACCGCUUACCAUCAGAUGUUCCCAGAUGGGGUUGGCUAGUAGGUGGGGUAAUGGCUCACCUAGGCGACGAUCCCUAGCUGUUCUGAGAGGAGGACAGGCCACACUGGAGAUGAGACACGGUCCAGACUCCUACGGGAGGCAGCAGUGGGGAAUAUUGCACAAUGGGCGCAAGCCUGAUGCAGCCAUGCCGCGUGUGUGAAGAAGGCCGUCGGGUUGUAAAGCACUUUCAGCGAGGAGGCGUUACUCGCAGAAGAAGCACCGGCUAACUCCGUGCCAGCCGCCGCGGUAAUUC
rnacentral:rRNA from 1 species